rnacentral:rRNA from 1 species
CUGCUAACGGAUGAUACUAAGCCAUGCGAGUCUUGUAGUAAUACAAGGCAGACGGCUCAGUAACACGUAGUCAACCUACCCUAUGGACAGGAAUAAUCUCGGGAAACUGGGCAUAAUUCUUGAUAGAUCAUAAUGCCUGGAAUGGUUUAUGGUUAAAAUGAUUCGUCGCCAUAGGAUGGGACUGCGGCCUAUCAGCUUGUUGGUGAGGUAAUGGCCCACCAAGGCGAUUACAGGUACGGGCUCUGAGAGGAGAAGCCCGGAGAUGGGUACUGAGACACGGACCCAGGCCCUAUGGGGCGCAGCAGGCGAGAAAACUUUGCAAUGUGCGAAAGCACGACAAGGUUAAUCCGAGUGAUUUCUGCUAAAGAAAUCUUUUGUCAGUCGUAAAACCACUGGCGAAUAAGGGGUGGGCAAGUUCUGGUGUCAGCCGCCGCGGUAAAACCAGCACCUCAAGUGGUCAGGAUGAUUAUUGGGCCUAAAGCAUCCGUAGCCGGCUUUGUAAGUUUUCGGUUAAAUCCAUGUGCUCAACGCAUGGGCUGCCGAAAAUACUGCAUGGCUAGGGAGUGGGAGAGGUAGACGGUACUCAGUAGGAAGGGGUAAAAUCCUUUGAUCUAUUGAUGACCACCUGUGGCGAAGGCGGUCUACCAGAACACGUUCGACGGUGAGGGAUGAAAGCUGGGGGAGCAAACCGGAUUAGAUACCCGGGUAGUCCCAGCCGUAAACGAUGCAGACUCGAUGAUGCAUUGGCAUAAUAGCCAAUGCAGUGUCGCAGGGAAGCCGUUAAGUCUGCCGCCUGGGAAGUACGUACGCAAGUAUGAAACUUAAAGGAAUUGGCGGGGGAGCACCACAAGGGGUGAAGCCUGCGGUUCAAU